GUCGCACGCUUUGCGUAGAUGAGGGAUGACGCAGGCACAGGCCUGAGCGUCGCACGCUUUGCGUAGAUGAGGGAUGGCGCCGGCGCAGGCCUGCGCGCCACGCGCUUUAGGUGGAUGAGGGAUGGCGCAGGUGCAGGCCUGCGCGCCUCACGCUUUAUGUACAUGAGGGAUGAGGCAGCACAGGAAUUGGCACAACCUGAAGUCAGCUCUGCAGCUUUCCAAGCUUCGUUCUGCGUGUCCUGUACUCAACAGUCAUCUCAUGCUGCAGGGUGGCUGCGUGUGCUCCGUACAUCACACCCAUAUUUCAGGGAGAAGACUGCACAUAUAACACAGCUCUGCAUGGAAAACCUUCCGCCUGGAGGGGUGGCUUCCUAGAGGUGUGGCGUUGCCCUCUGUCUUGAACAGGCUGUGAGCCGUUUUGUCAUUUGGGGUUUCUAGAUGCAAACAGCAGAAGCUGCUGGCCAAUUACCAAAGGGAACGUGCUGUUAGGAUAUCAGGGCCUGGGAGCUGCAGCAAUGUGGGCUGACAGCAGAGAGCUAAGGCACUUUCCGAGGUGACGAGCUGGGCUGCUAUGCUGGAGACGGCUGGGCAGAAGCAGUUAGCAGGGCAUUUCCUUGUGUCCUUAUCUCAAGAGUCACAGUUUCAGGAGUGAGCAUCUCAGAGGUCAGGGUUCAUUCACAUGCCACCUCCCUUCUCACUGUGUCAUUGGGGAGGGGCCGUCUGGACCCUCUGGCUCCUGUGGCAAGAAAUGGUCCCAUCAAGUCAUCCAAGGGCCUGGAAGCCUCCCAAGGAAAGCAGGAGGGCUGGGUGCUGAGCAGCGUCCAGCAGCAAAGGUAGGCUCCAGCCCCGCAGGUGUGGCUGCGCCAUCCCAGGGAACGUGCCCCAGCAAGUGCUGGUGCUGCUCUCACUACAGGUGGGGUUGGUUUCACUGGACAGGUGGCACUUCCUCACCUCUUGCCCUCUGGACCCACGGCAGGCACUUUCCAGGGCACAUCACGUGGGUGUGCGGUCUGGCUGCUGGGUCCACGCGGGUUCUCAAUCAUGACCUGGCUUGCAAGCUCUUUCCACAGUUGGAUAAAUGAAGCCGUUGGGGAAGUAUCCGCAAACUCUUACAGUGAGUAUGUGAUAAUGACACACGCGUGGCCCUUCUAAGACCUCCGCUAGGCAUUAUCAGUGACUGUGCUCGUGAGCGCUGACCUCCGCUAGGCGUUAUCAGGGACUGUGCUCGUGAGCGCCGACCUCCGCUAGGCGUUAUCAGGGACUGUGCUCGUGAGCGCGGACCUCCGCUAGGCGAUAUCAGGGACUGUGCUCAUGAGGGCGGACUUUCACCAGCCACGCUUCCGAGGAGUGGAGUCUUUCUCAGCUCUGCCUCUCCAAGAUGACCAUCUUGUGAAGACGAUGCGUUCUUUAUACACAAGUUCUGUGUGUGUGUGUGUGUGUUCCACACACAGGACCAAAGUUGAGAUAGGCGCACAUUUUCUUGGUCCCACUUGUGGCCCCAGUCGGCUGUCAGAAGUGGGUGUGCUCCACAUGUACCCACCAUGUCAGGGCACAGUGCUCACAUUUCACACCUCAGCAGGUGCCUUGAUGUUGACCAGAGGCCCCAAAAUCAUCUCUUUCUAUGACUUCUAGAUCUUAGAUUCCCAGGAACUGGGAAAUGCAGUCAGUAUCUUUUGGGUCCAAGAAACUUUGUCAGAGCCCUUGUGGGAGAACCAUAGAUUCUCACCAGAUAAACAGAAGAGCUUCGUGUUAGAGAAACCCGCCUGUCUCCCCACAUUCUCAGUUUUCUGGAGAGCAGCUGAAAGCCAUCUGGGUGGAGAUUAAGAGCUCCAACCGUGUAGCUUUGAUGUAUCGGGCAAGUUGCUUAAGCUCUUUAAUGCUGUUUCCUCAUUUAUUGUGUGAGGCCAAAAAUACCCAUUCCUUAAAGUUGUGAGGAUUAAAAACAGUAAUGAAAAGUGAGUGGCAAGUGCCGAGUACACAGUCAAGUACCUGAUACUUUUUAGUGUAAGGUAAGUAGCAAGAAAGCAUGAAAUUUAUUUUCAUUUACUCUUACUACAUGUGGUAAACCAUCUAUGCACAGAGCACUGCAUUGGGUGCCAUGAAUGACAGAAUAAGAGUACCAGGUGCAUGAAAAGCUUAAAAGACAAAUGAGACAGAGCUAGGCUGCAGAAGACUUAAAAAGUUGAUGUAUUUAACUUUUAAUGGACACACUGUACAUGUUUAUGGGGUACGAUUUGUUGUUUCCAUGCAUAUCUGUGUUGUGUAAUGAUCCAAUCAGGGUAGUGUGUGUGCCCAUUUCCUCAAGGGUGGAUCAUUAUGUGUAUCAUCGUGCAUCAUCAUGUAUCAUGCAUGUACCAUCAUCAUGCAUCAUUGUGCAUCAUCAUGCCUGUAUCAUUAUGUAUCACCUCAUGCAUAUAUUAUAAUGUAUCACCUCAUGCGUGUAUUAUCAUGUAUCACCAUGCAUGUAUUGUGCAUGUGCCAUCAUCAUGCAUCAUUGUGCAUCAUCAUGCCUGUAUCAUUAAUCACCUCAUGCAUAUAUUAUAAUGUGUCACCUCAUGCGUGUUUUAUCAUGUAUCACCAUGCAUGUAUUGUGCAUGUACCAUCAUCAUGCAUCAUUGUGCAUCAUCAUGUCUGUAUCAUUAAUCACCUCAUGCAUAUAUUAUAAUGUGUCACCUCAUGCGUGUAUUAUCAUGUAUCACCAUGCAUGUAUUGUGCAUGUACCAUCAUCAUGCAUCAUUAGGCAUCAUUGUGCAUGUAUCAUCACCUCAUGCAUGUAUUAUGUAUCACCUCAUGCAUGUAUCAUGCAUGUACCAUCAUCAUGUAUCAUUAUGCAUCAUUGUGCAUGUAUCACUGUGUAUCAUGCAUGUGUCAUCA
ensembl:lncRNA LINC00200 long intergenic non-protein coding RNA 200